rnacentral:lncRNA from 1 species
UGGGUUGUUGAUCUCCACAAGUAUCUCAUAUGGGAAGGAGUUCUUUUAGAUUGCUCAUAGCCACACGAAGAAGUCCGACCUCUACAGAUCAUCCACAUGAAGAAUGGAUGCUGAUCAGGCUCCUCAAGAAUGCUAGCUCGCAAGGAUCUUCAAAGGUUGAUCUACUUUUUCUUCCUCUGAUCUCUUGGACACUCCAAAGGAGAGGAAGAAUCUGUGGAGGAAGGG